GGCUGGGGGAUGCACCUCCAUUUUGUGGACUGCGGAGGUAUGUUGAGAGAGUGGCUCAGGUGGGCUUCAGUUAAGGCUGUGGGUGGUGGAGAGGUCAGCAGACUUCUUGGGGUCCAGCCCUUAAGGAGAUGGGCAUAUUGCCAGGUUCGGUGAAGGAUAUCCCCUUCAUUCCUGUGAACCUGGCUCUGAGCCAGGCACGGUCCAGGUGUUCCAGGUGAGGGAGGAGUAAAGGGCUGGAGAUGUUCCGUAACUUGCCCAAGGUCAUGCUGCUUUUGAGGGCCUAUACACCACACCAGCCUUUCACACAGCAGGUGACAUCGUGGCUCGUCCUUGAGUACAAGGACAUUGCUGUGCUUGUCAUGGUGCCUAAACAAUUGGUAGCCAUUCUUGGUGGUUCUGGGCUGAGGUUUGGCAUGAUGGCCACGUUCUACAGAGAAGGGAAGAGUGAGAAACAGCCCAUAGGCUCAGCUGAUGUGGACCCCAGGGAUGGGACCAGUAACCUGCCCCAGGGUCAACGUGUGUACCUGCACCUGUGUUUUCUAGAAUGUUCUGUCAGUACCCUGUAAGGGAUGGAAAAGGCUCAGUGAAAGUGUGAAGACACGCCUCGUUCUUAAAUCUAAAGAUGAUUUGCAAACACUUCGAGUUUGCUUUUAUUAAACUCAAAACCAAACCUGUUGCAAUCGAGUCACUUCUGACUUAUGGUGACCAUGUGCAUUAUGUAGUAGAACUGCUCCAUAGGAUUUUCUUGGCUGUAAUCUUUACAGAAGCAGAUCGCUACUCCUGAGGUGCUGCUGGGUGGGUUCAAACCACCAACCUUUAGAUGCCAUUCAGGAACUCACAGUAGCUAGUCUGAAUGCAACCCAAUCACAAAAUACCAACAGGAUUUUUUUUUUUUAAACUUUACAACAUCAGACCUUUUGGGAACCUAAACGUGGCAACAUAGCCAGGUAGAUUCUGGAAAGAGGAAAGAACUCGUCGAUUUGAUUCCAACUCAGCAACCCUGUAAGACAGAAUAGGACUACCCCAUAGGGUUUCCAAGGAACGGCUGGUGGAUUUGAACUGCCAAACUUUUGGUUAGCAGCUGUAGCAUUUAACCUCUGCACCACCAGGGCUCCAAAAAUAUCAAAACUAGGGAGGUACAUUUUUGCAUGUCAAGUCAAUUUUAUCAUAUUUUAAAAUUACGAAGUAUUUAUUAUCUAAAAACUAACCAAACCCAUUGCCAUCAAGUCAAUUCCAACUCAUAGUGACCCUGUAGGACAGAGUAGAACUGACCCAUAAAGCUUCCAAGGAGCACCUGGUGGGUUCAAACUGCCAAUCUUUUGGUUAGCACUUAACCACUAUGCCACCAGCGUUUCCAUUUAGCGUCCAUAAAGUAUUAUGUAUGUUAUAUAUAAAGGAACGAACAAAUUUGUCUUGGAAGAAGUACAGCCAGAAUGCUUCUUAAAAGCAAGGAUGGUGAGACUUCACCUCGUGUAUGCUUCUUAAAAGCAUGGAUGGUGAGACUUCCUCUCGUGUACUUUGGACAUGUCAUCAGGAGGGCCAGUCCCUGGAGAAGGACAUCAGGCUUGGUAGACAGUCAGUGAAAAAGGAAGACCCUCAAUGAGAUGGAUUGACACAGUGGCUGCAACAAUGGGCUCAAGCAUAACAACCAUUGUGAGGGUGGCACAGGACCAGGUAGUGUUUUGUUCCGUUGUACAUAGGGUUGCUAUGACUCAGAACUGACUCGACAGCACCUAAGGACAACAAUAUGUAAAUGAUUAGUAUGCGAGUUAAUGAAGCAUAAUGAUCAGUGUGUACAUGGAAACAAGACUGCCAAGAAGACCAUUGAAAUUCCCUGUACACUCCUCUCCCUUUGCCGCGGCUGACAAACUGCCCCGGAACUCAGUGGCCUGAAACAGCAGUGUAUUCUUUCUCCUGAUUCUGUGGGCUGACAGUUGGGCUGGAUGACAGCAGCUCCACGUGGGGUAGCUGCAUUCAGCUGGGCGCUUGGCUGGGGCUGGAGCAUCCAAGUUGGCCUCUUCACACGUGACCUCUCAUUCAACAGGCGAGCCUGGCCAUGGCGACAGCUGGGCAACUGAGCACCAAGAAGGGGAAGCAGAAGCUGCCAGCCCUCCCGGAGCAUGAAUUCCUCUACUGGUCAAAGCAAGUCACAAACCAGCCUGGAUUCAAGGAGAGGGGAAAUAGACCACCUCUAAAAAAACCAACCCAAACCCAUUGCCGUCGAGUCGAUUCCGACUCGAUAGGACAGAGUAGAACUGCCCCAUAGGAGUGGCUGGUGGAUUCGAACUGCCGACCUUUUGUUUAGCAGCCUGAGCUCAACCAUUGCACCAUCAGAGCUCCAGACCACCUCUAGGUGUGGGGAAAGAACCUUGGUGGCGCAGUGAUUAAGCACUGAGCUGCUAACCAAAAGUUCAGUGAUUUGAACCCACCAGCAGCUCCACAAGAGAAAGAUGGAGCAGUCUGCUUCUGUAGAGCUCACAGCCUUGGAAACCCUAUGGGGCAGUUCUACUCGGUCCUACAGGGUUGGUAUGAGUCGGAAUCGACCUGGGUGGCAAUGGGGUUGGUUUUGUUUGCUUUGUUUUAGAUGUGGUGAGGGAGUCCUGGGCAAUGCAAAGGGCUAACGCACUCAGCUGUAAACCAAAAGGUUAGUAGUUGGAGUCUACCCAGAGUUGUCUCCGAAGAAAGGCCCGGUGAUUUCCUUCUGAAAAGUAAGCCUUUGAAAACCCUAUGGAGCACAGUUCUACUCAGACACAUGGGGCUGUCAUGAAUCAGAAUCAACUCCACUGUUUUGUUUUUUUUUAAUGUGGGAGGAGGAAGCACGCGUGUUCAGGGAUGGAAGGAAUCAAUGGCAGCCAUAUUUGGAGGCUACUUCAUCACCCCAGCUCCCUAACCUUCCCCAACUCUGCCUCAAUAUCCUGUGAGGGACAUAGAAGUCAGUUGCCAUGGAGUCGAUUCAGACCCCACGUGUAUCAGUGUAGAACUGUACUCCAUAGGGUCUUCAAUGGCUGAUUUUUUGGAAGUAGAUCACCAGGCUUUUCUUCCAACGUGCCUCUGGGUGUACUCAACUGCCAACAUUUUGAUCAGCAGCUGAGCGUGUUAACCAUUUCCACCACCUGGCCACUCCAUGACAGACAUAAAAGACACGCUUUAUUAUUUUUAUUUAUUUAUUUUUAUUGUGCUUUAGAUGAAGGUUUACAGAACAAACUAGUUUCUCAUCGAACAGUUAGUACACGCAUUGUUCUAUGACAUUGGUUAACAACCCCACAACGUGUCAACACUCCCUUCUCAACACUGGGUUCCCUAUUACCAGGUUUCCCGUUCCCUUCUGCCUUCCAGUCCCUGCCCCAGGGCUGGUGCACCGCUUUAGUCUUGUUUUGUUCCAUGGGCCUGUUCAAUCUUUGACUGAAGGGUGAACCUCAGGAGUGACCUCAUUACUGAGCUGAAAGGGUAUCUGGGGCCAUACUCUCAGGGUUUCUCCUGUCUCUGUCAGGCCAGCAAGUCUACUCUUCCUUUUUGAGUUAGAAUUUUGUUCUACAUUUUUCUCCAGCUCUGUCGGGGACUCUCUAUUGUGAUCCCUGUCAGAGCAAUCAGUGUUGGUAGCCGGACACCAUCUAGUGGUACUGGACUCAGUCUGGUGGAGGCCGUGGUAGAUGUGGUCCAUUAGUCCUUUGGACCAAUCUUUCCCUUGUAUCUUUAGUUUUCUUCAUUCUUCCUUGCUUCUGAAGGGGUGAGACAAGUGGAGUAUCCUAGAUGGCCUUUCACAAGCUUUCAAGAGCCCAGAUGCUACUCGCCAAAGUAGAACGUAGAACAUAUUCUUUAUAAACUAUGCUAUGGUUAUGUCAAUUGAGCCAGAUGUUCCCCAAGAUCAUGGUCCCCACAGCCCUCAGCCCAGCAAUGUGGUCCAUCAGGGAGUUUGGAUGAAGACACACUCUAUUCUUAGAUCUAAAGACAGCCUUGAAAAUAAGUCCAUUUUCCUCGUAUUAGCUAAUUUCCUUUUGUUAGCCAAUUUAGGUAACUCCUAUCCUGGGUUUCCCUUUCCUUUAUGGUUGUGCCGCGUUUCUAUGAACCCCUAAAUAGUAUCUUGUGACAUUUUGCUUGGAUUUGAACAUAACGGUGGCAACAAAAUACAUGUGUAUUGACUGACUUUCUCUUCUCAACCUUGUAUUUCUAAGAUUCAUCCAUGCUGAUGCCUAUGGUAGUGUUUAAUUCAUUUUUCCUGCUGUAUGUUAAUCCAUUAUGUAAAUGUACAGUUUACUCGCUUAUUCUCAUAACAGUGAAUAUUUGAGUUGUUCCUAACUGUUUGCAAUCACAAUGCUUCCAUGAACGUUUCUUAUAUCAACUUCCUGGCGCACCUGUGCAAGGAGUUGUCUGUUGUAUAUGCCUGGAAGUGGCAUCAUUGGGUCACAUGGUGUGCAAAUAUUCAACUUGGCGAAUUCUACCCAAUUGUUUUUCAAGGAACUGAACCAGUUUACACUCCCACCUGUGCUGCAUAGACGUUCUCCUUGUCCUGAUCCUUGGCGGCCCUUAAUGUUAACAACCUUUAGGAUUUUGGCCAAUCAGUUGAGGGUAAAAUGGAAUUUCAUUACUAUUUUAAUUUUUAUUUCCCUGAUUAUUAUUAAAGCGGAACAAGCUUUACUGUGUUUAUUGGACAUUCAAAUCUCCUUUCCUAUAAAAUCCCUGUUGGUGUUCUUUUGCCAAUUUUCUUGUUACAUGCUUGCCUUAGUUAUCAAGUGCUGCUAUAACAGAAAUUCCACAAGCGGAUGGCUUUAACAAGGCGAAAUUUAUUCUCCCACAGUUUAGGAGGCUAUAAGUCCGAGUUCUGGAUGCCAGCUCCAGGGGAAGGCUUUCUUUUUCUGUUGGCUCUGGAGGAAGAUCCGUGUAAUCAAUCUUCCCCUGGUCUAGGAGCUUCUCAGCGCAGGGACCCCGGGUCCGAAGGAUGCACUGCCCUCUUGGUUCCUCAUUCUUGGCAUUAGGAGGUCCCUCUCCUCUCUGCUUGCGUCUCUCUUUUAUAUCUCGAAAGGGAUUGACUGAAGAUACAACCUAACCCUAUAGAUUGAGUCCUGCCUCAUUAACAUGACUACCUCUAAUCCUGCUUCAUUAACACAUAAGAAAAAUCAGAUCACAAAAUGGUGGACUACCACACAGUAUUGGGCACCAUGCCCCGGCCAAAUUAACACACAUUUUUGGGGGGACACAAUUCAAUUCAUAACAAUGCUUUAUGUUUGUCUUAUUGGUUUGUAGGAGUUCCUUAUGUAUAUAUAUGUUUUAUGCAAUUCUUUAUCUAUUUUGCUGUUAAUUGCCUAAUUGUGUGACUUGUCUUUUCACUUUCUUUGUAUUCUCUUUGAUGAGGAAAUUAUUUAGUGUAGUCAAAUAUGUCAGCUUUUUUCUUUACAGUUAGGACUUUUUGUGUCCGUGUCAGAAAUCCUUCUUAUCCCAAGGUUGUAGAGAUAUUCUCUUAUAUUUUUCUUCUAAUAGUUUUAAAGUUUUGUAUUUUACAUUCAAGUCUUUUAAGCCCCCUGGACUUAAUUCCUAGGUAUGGUGUGAGGUAGGGAUAACCAUUUGUUUGGGGACUUUUUUAUUUUCCUCACUGAGAUGGAGUCUAUGUCUGCAAAGAUCAAAUGUUCAAAUGUGUGAGGUAUAUUUCUGGGCUUUCUUUUCUGUCCUACUGGGUCUAUCCCUUGUAUAACCACACUUAAAAUAAGUCUUGAUAUCUGGUUGUGCGAGUCUUCUACCUUGAUCUACUUUAGCAGUGUUUUGCCUAUUUUUGGCCCUUUAUUCCUGCAUAUACAUUUAAUAAACAAUUCAUCAUGUUUCAUGAAAAUUUCUGUAGAUGUUUUCAUCAGGUUUGUAUUAAAUCUAUAGAUCCACUUGGGGAGAACUGAAAUCAUUGUAAUAUUGAGUGUUCUGAUUCAUGAACGUGGUAUUUAAAAAAUUUAUUUAGAUCUUUAAUAUCUUCUAAUACAGUUUUAUGAAGAGCUGGUGGCACAGCAGUUAAGAUCUCAGCUGCUAACGUGAAAAGGUCGGCGGUUUGAAUUCACCAACCACUCCUCGGAAACCCCCUGGGGCAGUUCUACUCUGUCCUAUAGGGUCAAUAUGAGUCAGAAUCAACUCGAUGGCAGUGGGCUUUUGGUAAAUACAUGUCAUGGAUUGAAUUGUGUCCCCCCAAAAUAUCUGUCAACUUAGCUGGGCCAUGAGUCCCAGUAUUGUGUGAUUGUCCACCAUUUUAUGCAAUUUCCCUGUGUGUUGUAAAUCCCAUCACUAUGAUGAAAUGAGAUGUAUUAGUGGCAGCUGUAAUGAUGAGAUAUACAAGAUUAGAUAGUGUCUUAAGCCAAUCUUUUUGAGAUAUAAAAGAGAGAAGCAAGCAGAGAGACAUGGGGACCUCAUACCACCAAGAAAGCACUGCUGGGAGCAGAACGUGUCCUUUGGACCUGAGGUUCCUACACUGAGAUGCUCCCACACCAAGGGAAGCUUGAUGAUGACGACCUUCCUUCAGAGCUGACAGAGAGAGAAAGACUUUGCCUGGAGCCGGUGCUUACUUCUAGCCUACUGAACUGUGAGAGAAUAAAAUUUUCUUUAUUAAGGCCAUUCAUUUGUGGUAUUUCUGUUACAGCAGCACUGGAUGACCAAGACAGAAUUUGGUACUGAGAAAGCGGGGUGCUGCUGUAACAGAUACCUAAAAUGUCGAAGCAGUUUUGAAACUGUGAAUGGAUAGAGAACCAGCAGCGGCACAGAUGCGGCAGCAGCAGAGAACCAGCAGCAGCAGAACCAGGAGACCAGCGCGAGAUGGCGCUGGAGCCAACCCACGGAGCUAGAGAACUGAGUUCCUGUGCGCAGAAGGCUUCCUGGUGGAGUAUGGUGCCUCCGGGCACUUAUCUGUGGAGCUACAGAGUUUUAGAACACUUGCCCCAGCAGGGCAGAUGUGGGUAUGAGGCCCAAGGAGCCGAGAGGCCAAGAUACCAGGAAGCAGAAGCUGAAGAGACAAGGAACACAAGAAGCAGAGCUGCCUUAGUCUCAGAAGGUGCAGAAGGAAGAGAAAACUCACAAUGGAAACUGAAAAUGAAAAAACCUCCAUGUCUCAAUAUGUAAUGCAGAGGGAAGAUGCCGUGGAGGCUAAAAAGAUGCAACAACGAUUAUAUUAAUUACUCCAUAAACAGAAGCACCCAUCAAAAAAAAAAUCAAAUCACCUUUUGCUACCAAGAAACACAGAGAAAACCAAAAGAGACAGAGUAAAACAAUAGGACAACCUGUUUUCUCAAGCACACAGAAUGCCAAAAAAGAAGAGAAUCCAGAAUCUGACAGUCAGUUUUUUCUAGUGAAGAGGUUUGAGAGAGGAACCUGGAGGCUGCACAUUGGGAACAAUUAUAGUAAAGAAUUAAAACACAAAACGCUCAAGUUUGUGUUCCAAAGAGCGUAGCAAGAACCGCAUAAUGGGAACCUACCAGAACUGCAAAGAGAAAUAAAUAGACAUGGAAAUAUAGUUGUAGCUGGAGACCUUAAUUCCCCCUCUCAGAAUACCAUUGAUCAGAUAGAGAAAUGAGAGCUUCGAGCAGCCCAAUUAAAAAGCAGAACCAGCAGAUCAAUGACAAGGAUGCAAUCAAGGGAAUGUACUCUCUUUAUGAGGGUGCAAGGGUCUUUCACAACAUUUAUGCCAUUCCUGGCCUAGGGCAAAGCACUCAAAGGCCACGGCAAUUCCACAUACCUAGUUCUCAACCGGUAAAGAAAACACAGCUCUUUGCUGAUCCUAACCACUUAGCUAUGGCUUCAUGAUAUUAAUAACAUAUAACAGACAUUUCUGCAUGGUCUCUCAAAUCCCCUCUUAAAAAACGCAAGUCAGAGCUAAAAUUAGGGGUGCAUUAUGGAAAUAUUAGAAAUGGAACAAAUAUGUUGCAGUCCUGGGAGGUUGUUAUAAUUGUCCCUAUUUUAUAGAUAAGAACAGCAAGUAAGGCUCAGAGAAGCUAAGGAGUCUGCCUGAGGUCAAACAGGCAGUGAGGGGUCUAGCUGGAGCUCACAUCCUGAGUCUCCUCUUUAUCUUCUCCGGGUCCCAGUCCCUCUCCAGCAUCCCCUGCCAGAGUGCCUGGGACAUCCAGGAGCUUCUAGCUCACCUCCUCACCCCUUCCCAUGCCUGGCUCCGUCAGACACUCCCCUCUCUCCUCACAGGCUUCCCUCCCUCCUAAAACAUCUUAAACAAAAAUGGGAAUUCCUAUGUGUCUUUGCAAACAGGAAAGAAAGUGAGCAGUGAAGUGAACCAAAGCUACACAUAGAGAAUCUAGAAGAGGAGCAUGGGGUACCAGUGGCCCCUUGCAUGUCUCUGGCCAGCCUAGGAUGGUUUGUCUGCAGGAGUUGCCAGCAGGGUGGGGCCUGUGCAGAGGUGAGGGAGCCACACACAGCAGGUGUAGAAAGGACUAGAGCUGCUCAUAACCCAUGGAAGAAAACACGUCCUCGGCACCCUUCAAUGCUCAAGUGGAGCCCCACUGUACGACUUCAAGGGGCAGUGAAGGGAAUGGGUUUCCUUUUAAAGCCUGUUAAAUAUAUUAAAUAUUAAAUAUAUCUCUAUUAAAACCAGAUUAUCUUGCAGCCUGAGUGUCUGAGAGCAGACAAAAACAAUCUCGUGAGGUAGUGAGCUCUCCGUCACCAGAGGUAUGCAAGCAAAGGCAGGAGGCCUGUUUAACCAGGAUAUUGUCAAGUGAAUUUACACAGAUAGAAAUGUCUUACUGGAGGGUUUUUUUGUCUUGUUUUGUUUUAAAAUCUGAACUGGGAUUUUCUUUCAUAAAAUAUAUCUUCUAAUGUUUAGUGUUCUAAAGUUAGGAAACCCUGGUCACGUAGUGGUUAAGUGCUACAGCUGCUAACCAAAAGGUCCGCAGUUUGGAUCCGCCACGUGCUCCUCGGAAACUUUAGGGGGCAGUUCUACUCUGUCCUAUAGGGUCGCUAUGAGUCGGAAUCAACUUGAUGGCAGCGGGUUAGUGGGUUUUAAUGUUUAGUGAAGAUGAGAGAAUACCCCAUGCAUGAAGGGACUAGACUGGGAGUCCUGACUCCUGAAUUGGCUAGUUGCCGAGUCUCUGUCUUGGUUCUCUCAUUCGUAAAGCCUCCUCGACCCUGCGACCCUGGAGCCCGUGGCCUCCUUGUACUGGCUCUCUCCCUGCUAACUCGGGCUGUGAUGCCUGCGCCGUGGUACCCGCGGGUCUGCUCGCGCUUUCAGGAUCCGGUGUGCCCCUCAGGACAGCCCAAGGUUAUGUCUGCACAGCUGAGAUAACUGAACCCAGCUCUCUGGCUCAAUACCAAAUCUGAACUUCCAUCCCUUUGUGGGCUGGAUUUUCCCGAGAAUGCAAACCACAGGAAGAACACAACCUUGAAGAGGUUUGCUGGCUAAAGAGUCCUCCUCUCUCACCCCGCCAAGCCCGUAUCUACAGAGAGCACUGUGAUGCCAGCCCUUAGAUGUGGUAGAGCCAGUCUGGGGUGAGCAGAGUUGGUGGCAGCCUGAGGAUGUCGUUUGGGAGGCCCUGGAACAUUCCUCCAGACAAGUCAUCCCAUCCAGUUUCGUUGCCUGAAAUAUUAAUGUCCUCUGGGUUGCCAUGUUGAAUGACGCAGUUAGAUAGAAAUAUUUACUUGGCUGCAGCUGCCGGCCACUAACACCAUAGUAUGAAUCAGUUCACCUGUCUACUCUGAGCUCGGAGUCCCUGGGUGGCUCAAAUGUUUAAGCACUCGACUACUGGCCAAAAGGUUAGUGAUUCAAAGUCACCCAGAGGUGCUUUAGAAGGAUCUGCUUCCGAAAGCUCACAGCCUUGAAAACCUUAUGAAGCAGUUCUAUCUACACACCUGGGGUUGCCACAAAUUGGAAUCAACAAAGCGCAGCCCAGACCUGUUCUCCCCCAUCCCGUCACUCUCAAGGAAGAAGCUAGAACUUCCAGGGUUCCAAAUGCUACUGUGUCUUCCCUCCCAGCCUCUCCGUGUGACACUUGGUCAGUGUUCUGGAACAACCCAGGUAUAACCUAUAACCUCAGUCAAAGCUUAUGGGGUCCUUACUAGGGGCAAACACUUCACAUCAUUUACUGCACUCGAGAGCCCCUUGAGGACGAAGUCGUUAUUGGCACAUUUCCCAGCAAGUUAAACUGAGGUUAGGAGAGUGGCUAGCGGGCUCCCAGCCAUAGCCCUGGCGUGCCACGAGCUGUGUGUGACUCUUGAGAGUGCUUAAUCUCAGUACUUGGUGAUUCCCCAUAAGAUUUCUGUGGAGCCAACAGCCGCCCGGCAGAGAGAGGUGGCACGCAAGCUGAGCUAGUGCUGCGGAAGGCUCCUGGGCCACCUACGGCAAGGCUUCCCCAGCCCUCAGACGCUGCAACCCUGACUCAAAUCAGGAGGAAGCUGGGGGUUAGUAGAGAAAUGUCAGCAGCAAUCAGGGACAAACUAGUCGUCUGCCCGCUGCUGCUGCUGUCACAGAGGCUGUUGGAGGCUGCCACGGGGCUGCCACCUGGGGUGCCUAUGUCGGGGCAGAUGUAUACAGAGGCUGCCCAUGGAAGCCCCCUGACAUCAGGGAAGUCUCCUGCAGUCCCCAAGAGCACCAUCAGGUCAGUGGCUCUGUGCCUCAGUUUCUCCAAAGGACUCAGGGGCGCUUACCUACAGGUGGUCCAGUGCAUCUGAGUGAGCUGCGAAUCGUCAUGGUCUGCUCUGGGCUGGCUGCCAGCCUGCUGGGGAG